rnacentral:rRNA from 1 species
UACGUAGGGUGCGAGCGUUGUCCGGAAUUAUUGGGCGUAAAGAGCUCGUAGGCGGUUUGUCGCGUCGGGAGUGAAAUCCACUGGCUUAACUGGUGGCUUGCUUUCGAUACGGGCAGACUGGAGGUAUGCAGGGGAGAACGGAAUUCCUGGUGUAGCGGUGAAAUGCGCAGAUAUCAGGAGGAACACCGGUGGCGAAGGCGGUUCUCUGGGCAUGUC